rnacentral:rRNA from 1 species
UGGACGCCAGUCUGCGUGGAGCCAACCUUGAAAUACCACCCUUUAAUGUUUGAUGUUCUAACGUUGGCCCCUGACCGGGGUUGCGGACAGUGUCUGGUGGGUAGUUUGACUGGGGCGGUCUCCUCCCAAAGCGUAACGGAGGAGCACGAAGGUUAGCUAAUCCUGGUCGGACAUCAGGAGGUUAGUGCAAUGGCAUAAGCUAGCUUGACUGCGAGCGUGACGGCGCGAGCAGGUGCGAAAGCAGGUCAUAGUGAUCCGGUGGUUCUGAAUGGAAGGGCCAUCGCUCAACGGAUAAAAGGUACUCCGGGGAUAACAGGCUGAUACCGCCCAAGAGUUCAUAUCGACGGCGGUGUUUGGCACCUCGAUGUCGGCUCAUCACAUCCUGGGGCUGAAGUAGGUCCCAAGGGUAUGGCUGUUCGCCAUUUAAAGUGGUACGCGAGCUGGGUUUAGAACGUCGUGAGACAGUUCGGUCCCUAUCUGCCGUGGGCGCUGGAGAAUUGAGGGGGGCUGCUCCUAGUACGAGAGGACCGGAGUGGACGCAUCACUGGUGUUCGGGUUGUCAUGCCAAUGGCACUGCCCGGUAGCUAAAUGCGGAAGAGAUAAGUGCUGAAAGCAUCUAAGCACGAAACUUGCCCCG